UUAAAUUCCACAAUUAACCUCUAAUUUUUACUUUUCGCAUUUUAAUUUCCGCUCCUAACAUUUUAUUUUCUAUCAUUUACCUUAUGCACUUUUAUUUUUAUUUUUAUAUUCUUUUUGCUAUAUCAUUGUACAUUCUUCAUUCAUCUCAUCUAAAAAAUGACUAAAAAUGGAUAAGACUUUAAAAAUAAAAAUAAAAGAUAAUUCUCAAGAAUGUAAUGGAGUUAGAGAUUAUUCUUAGGCCCCUUGCAAAAGACCUUGGACAAAUAUUCAACCCGAACAUGGAAGGAGCAUUCAAGAAUCAAGAUAAAUUGUAAUCUUUUAUGUGCUUUCUUGUUUAGGACACAAUUGCACACACAUGGCUUUCUCUUGGGCUACCUGACAGUGAGACCUUUUAUUUCCUGCACUCCCUUGUACUUUACAUGUACCCUCUCCCCUUUAUCGUGUACGCAUUUACUCGCUUUCUUUUAUUGCUUGAUUAGAUACUCCUUAGGCAUUAGGAACGCGCACCAUUCAAAAUAAAUAAUCAAACCCUUGAUCCAACGUCAAGCGGUCUCUUUCUCAAGUCAAAUCCAAUAAGCAAACUCUUGAUCCAACGUCAAGCGGUCUUUUCCAAAUCAAACUCAAAAACACAAUAAAUGGCGAUUAGGAUAGUACAUCAUGAGCCUUAAGCGAUAAAGAAGGGAUGAGACUGGAGCUUUCCUACCCUCAUUCUGAAUGCUUCGAACACAAGACGUUUGGCUUGGUAGUUUGAGGUAUUCACCUUUAUCCAUAGUCUUUAGUGCAAUCCGAAAUCAAUAACACUUUCUCAAAAAACCUAAAAACAACUCAACACAUUCAAACCUUUUGUUUGAGCCUUAGGGCGACACCAUCGAAAACCCUUCUUCAAAGUAAUAAAAUCAACAAAACAAACAAACAAUUUCAAACCCACGAACUACGAAGGCUCUGAUUUCUCACUUCAACAAGUGGGCAUACGUAGGCACGAGGAUCCAUUCCUUGGCGAGCACACUAAUUU
rnacentral:lncRNA from 1 species